rnacentral:lncRNA from 1 species
UUCAAAAAUGGCUAAUGAAAGUGCAGGUUCCUCAGCAGCAGCUCAUCCCGUCAAUUGUUCAGUGCAUAAUGAUAUUACAUGUCAUAUUCACCAAGAAGGAGAUUCUUGUGUUGUCUCUUGUGGAAGGUAAAUUGUUGUUCCAUUGCUAAUGCUUGAUGGGUUAAGAUUAUUGAGCUGAUACUCUUAUGGAUUUUUUCACACCAAUUUUGCUCUUUAUUUUUUAUAAUAGCUUUUUUUUUUUUAAAUAAAAUUGUUUACAACUUUUUAUUAUUUUCUCAUAAAACAAAUAUACUUUAUAAAAUAAUCAUUUUUCUAAAAAAAUUAUUUAUCGACAUAAAAAAAUUCAGACGUUUAUAAUCUUUUGAUUAAAAACUUUAAUUUUUUGCAUAAUAUUUUUAUAAAUAUUAGUACAAGUAAUAAUAUUUUUAUACAUAUAUAUUUUGUUAAAGAUUGUAUUUAUUUGCUUUUGUUAUAUUCUAAAAUUCAUUUUUACUUUUAAAUGAUUUAAAAAUAAUUAUUUUAAUUUUUUUUAACAAAAUUUUCUAUUUUAAAAAUAGUUCUCUAAAAAUUAUAUAUAUAUAUAUUUAAAAUAAAUUAGAAAUAAAUUAAAUAUCAUUAAAAAUAAGAGAGAUUUACAAUUUAGUUCCUAGGUAUUGCCAUUAUUAAUAAGUCAGUUCCUGCAUUUUCAGAAAUAUAUUAAACGUCCUUAUUUUUUCUUUCCGUCAACAAAAUAGUCCUUCUGUCUAUUUUUUUCAUUAAAAAUAUAGCAAAAACCAAAUUACUCUCUUUUUUUCCUCCUCCUUCUUCAUCUAUUUUUCUUCCUCUUCUUUUCCUUCUUUGGUUCUUCUUUGGUUCUUCUUCUUCUUCUUUUUCUUUAAGGAGGAGGAGGAGAAGAUUUUUCUUCUUCUUCGUCAUCAUCUUCUUAUUCUCCUUCUUCUUUUUCUUCUUCUUCUUUUUUCUUCUUUUCUUCUUCUUCUUCUCCUUCAUCAUCAUCCUCAUCUUCUCCUUCUUUUUCUUCUUUUUUUUUUCUUUUCUUUUUUUGAGGAGGAGGAGGAGGAGGAUGUAUUAUUUCGUUGACGGAAAGAAACAAUAAGAACGUUUUAAUAGAUAUGAGAAAAGAUAAGGACGUUUUAAUAAAUUUCUGAAAAUGUAGGGAUUGACUUGUUAAUAAUAGCAAUAUCGAAGGAUUAAAUAAGGGGUUUUAUUUGAGAAAAAAAUUGGAUUUUAAAAAUUUUUUCUCUCAUCAUUUAUCUGUUUUUAACAGAAAAGAGAACGGAAAAACUAUUUCGUUGACGAAAAAAAAAAGAUAAGGAUAUUUUAAUAGAUUUCUAAAAAUGUAGGGACUGAUUUGUUAAUAAUGGCAAUAAUUAGGGACUAAAUAGAAAAUCUUUCUAAAAAUAAAAGAUUUUCGUGUUGUCUCGGCUAACCAUAUAAAAAAUUACUUUAAUGCGUAAAGUAAUUUUCUUAUAUAUAUAUAUAUAUAGCUGGAUCGAAACAUACACCAAUAUUUACAGGAUGAUGUUGCGGGUUUUAAAAUUUAUCAGAUUAUAACUUUCAAUGGUACGUGACAUUGUAAUCCAAGUUUCUUCUACGGCACAACAAUUUGUCGGAUUGAAGAGGUCUGGUCUUCCAGUCUAUAUACCAAGAAAGUUUAAUAAGAGAAAUAUUACUUUGGCCUCAAAAGGGCACUGGCCUAAAUAAGAGUAAAAUUUAUGGCCUAAAUAAGAGUAAAAUUUAUGGCCUCACAAAGUCAUUGGCCUUUAAUCUAUAAAAUUUAUAACAAUCACAAGCAAAUAAUACAGAUUUCUGAUGUGGAAGUUCUGCUUGAGCUGCAACCACAGAGCAUACUUAACAAAUUAACACAAAGGUUUUAGGUUCCUGCAACCUUAAUUUGGGAUCCCCAGAAUUAAGUCUGAAUGAGGAGGGAGAAGAGAAAGGUGCUGUCAACACGGGCUUAUAUAAGUAGCAGAUAUAAAAUAUGCAGAAAGUAAAUAACAUAAAACUUACUAUGAUUUUAUUUAUACUUGAAGGUUUUACAAAGUUUCUGAAAACUGAUAUAUAAAUUUUACAGAGAAGUGUGAAGAUAGAGAAAAUAGAGAGAGGAAAUAUAUAUGUGCCUUCACAAGGGGAGAGGCUCCCUUUUUAUAGAAAAUUUUUAGACUUUUACUGUUGAUUCACGCGGCUUUUACUGUUCAUAAAUAGUAACUUGUACUGUUGAUGAAUAGUAUGUCAGUAACUUGUACUGUUGAUGAAUAGUAUGUCUAUGUCUACCACCUGCUUUUACUGUAGAUGAAUAGUAUGUCUGCCACCUGCUUUUACUGUAGAUGAAUAGUGAUUUCGUUUUUGUUUUUACUCUGAUUCUGAUGAUGAGGACGAUGAGGUGUCCCGUUUCUUUUUUCCUUUUCCUUUUUUCUUUACUUUUUCUUUCCUUUUUCUUUUACUUUGUCUGUCUUGCUUUUAAUUUUUAUUGUUGGUAAUAUCCCAUAACAGUCAUCUUCAUUGCUGUCACAGUGAGAAGAUGCCAAAUUUUUACUGGAGGAUGACGUACUUGACGCUGUCGACUCUGAUUCCGAACUUGACUGUUUUUUAAGCUUUCUCCUGCUAGAUUUUUUCUUUGGAGCUUUUUUACUGGAAGAGUGUUUUGACGAUUCUUUACUACUGGACUUUCUUUCUUUUAGUUCCUCGGACUUUACUGUUUCUCCUGAGCCCAAUUGGCUAAACAUCUGUUGACAUAUCAUUUUAUAUUCUUCAGGAGUUUUAGUUGUUCCGAGCAUAGCUUGGCACUGGGCCUUUUGAGCCCCAAAUAAAGACUCUCCUUGCAAGGCC